rfam:Otolemur garnettii contig001321, whole genome shotgun sequence.
GCUGGAUGCAGUGGUGCACACCUGUAGUCCCAGCUACUUGGGAGGCUGAGACACGAGGAUCGCUUGAUUCCAGGAGUUCUGGGCUAUAGUGCGCUGUGCCAAUCAGGUGUUAGCAGUAAGUUCAGCAUUCAUUUGGUGACCUCCCAGAGUGGAGGGCCACCAGGUUGCCUAAGGAGGGGUGAACUGGCCCAAGUCAGAAAUGGAGUAGGUCAAAACUCCCAUGCUGAUCAGUAGUGGGAUCGCACCUGUGAAUAGCCACUGCACUCUAGCCUGGGCAACAUAGCAAGACCCUGUCUCUU